GACGAACGCUGGCGGCGUGCUUAACACAUGCAAGUCGAACGGAAAGGCCCUGCUUUUGUGGGGUGCUCGAGUGGCGAACGGGUGAGUAACACGUGAGUAGCCUGCCCUUGACUUUGGGAUAACUUCAGGAAACUGGGGCUAAUACCGGAUAGGAGCUCCUGCUGCAUGGUGGGGGUUGGAAAGUUUCGGCGGUUGGGGAUGGACUCGCGGCUUAUCAGCUUGUUGGUGGGGUAGUGGCUUACCAAGGCUUUGACGGGUAGCCGGCCUGAGAGGGUGACCGGCCACAUUGGGACUGAGAUACGGCCCAGACUCCUACGGGAGGCAGCAGUGGGGAAUAUUGCACAAUGGGCGGAAGCCUGAUGCAGCAACGCCGCGUGCGGGAUGACGGCCUUCGGGUUAUAAACCGCUUUCGCCUGUGACGAAGCGUGAGUGACGGUAAUGGGUAAAGAAGCCCCGGCUAACUACGUG
rnacentral:rRNA from 1 species